AAUGGUGAGAGGGUUGAGGGGAGUUCCAGACGGGGAUGCGAGGACCCCUUGGGGUCUGACCCACA
rfam:Nomascus leucogenys chromosome 4, whole genome shotgun sequence.